GUNUUAAAGAUUUUAAUUUUAAGUNUAAUCUGCCCAAUGAAAUUUUUAAAUGGCUGCAGUAUUUUAACUGUACAAAGGUAGCAUAAUAAUUUGUUUUUUAAAUGAAAACUAGAAUGAAUGAUUAAAUGAAAUAUAAACUGUUUCAAUUAAAUAAAUUUAAAUUUUUAUUUAAGUAAAAAAACUUAAAUAAUUUUUUAAGACGAUAAGACCCUAUAGAAUUUUAUUUAUUAAAAAAAUUUUUUUUUUAAUAAAUUUUAUUGGGGUAAUAUAAAAAUUAAAUUAAUUUUUUAUUAAAAAUACAUUUAUAAAUGAUAAUUAAAUCUUAAUUUUUAAAUUAAAAAAAUUAAUUACCUUAGGGAUAACAGCAUAAUUUUUUUUGAAAGAUCUUAUUAAUAAAAAAGAUUAU
rnacentral:rRNA from 1 species